GCUCCAUCACAAGUGACCAGACAUAGUUCCCAGUGCUACACAGCAGGAUCCCGCUGCUUAUCCAUUCCAAGGCAAUAGUUUGCAUCUAUUAGAGCUGCUGCAUCCUGAUGCAUCGUUUAGGGACCCUUUGGUCUGUGGAGGGAUCAUUGUGUGGAAAGCAAAGCCAGAUCCACAACUUUGGGCUCCAGUGGGUGCUGGCCACUCGCCAUUUCUGGCUGUGUCUCCCAGUCUACAAAUCCGGAAUGUUGGGGCUUCUGGUGCCCACAUUUACCAUAUGAAAUCCCCUCCUGAUUGCCUACCAGGUCCAUAGUUGAGGCAAGAUCCGGAAACGCAGAGUGUGGCUGAGCCCUUGGGCUCUGGACCAGUCUGCCAGGCUCCCAACCUUCUCCCGCUCCUAUUCAAGUCCAGGGUGAGCCCGUGGGUCGGGACUUAUAUGUUUGCCUCUGCUGCAUGCCAGGUACUGUGCCAAGUGCUUUCCAUGCUCUGCCUCCCCAAACCCUCACAACGCUCCAGUGAGAAGGGGCUGUCACCCUACCCGCUUUCCAGAGAGAAGUGGGGAAGCCACUUGCCUGAGGUCCCAGAGCUCGUGAGCGGUGUGAUGCUGGGCAAGGCACUUCACCUUUCUGAGCUUCGGUUUCCUCAUCCGUACAAUGCAGUGCAGGGCGCUAUCUCUCUGGGCGUGGUGACGCUUGCACGGGGCAAUGCACACAGCACCUAGCAGAGCGCUGAGCACAUGCUAAACACUCACUGGACACAGCCACUUAACAGUAGAGCUGAGGUUAACCUCCACGUGAAGAGAGAGAAAACCCAGUGUCUCUAGCACAUCCCUCCGUGAUCCGAUCCUGCAUGUAAGUGUUUUCUGUGUCCCGUGUAAGCUCCCUGAGGGCAGGUGCUUGGUCAGCCUGUUGACUGCUGCUUCCUGGGGCUUUGGGUGGCACCUGGCACCAGGUUGGUGCUCGGGGAAAGUUUGAUGAAUGACUGAGUGAAGGACUGCUUGGGGGGCCCCAUGGGCCAUUUACCGCAUUGGACAGCCCCUUCCCCUCACAUCCUUUGCCUGGCGGCUGUGGCCUGAGCGGAUCUGUCUCAUGCCCCAUUGGAUGGACUCUUCCCAGGUCAGGGGAGCCUGGGCCCCGGCUGCCCACUGCUAUCUUCCCCAAGGAGAAGAUGCUUAGAGCUGGCAGUGCAGUUGAACUUCCUUGCAGCCUGCCGUGGAUGCAACAGGAUCUCUCUUCUUGGGCGGGAAGUGGAACGUGUUGAAAGUCUUGUGGGAGGUGGUUACAGACCUUGGGAGGCGGGCCAGCCAGUGGGCAGCUUCGGUGCCUUGGUAUCUUAGAGCUGGGGCUAGGCUGAUGGCAACUAUCCAGGUUUGAGGUCCCUCCACUCAUUACACAGGUGAACAUGGUUUGAAACCAUCCGCCCUCCUCCCUGGGAUGGCACGGGGAGUGGCUGCUUAUGCUCUGCUCCCUGGAGCCCCCCCCCUCCCCCUGCAACGUGCACUGAGAAGAUGAUCCCACUCUUGGUCCCCUACGAGUCCCUUAUUUGGAAAAGCCACCCCCACCCCCUGAGUGAAAUAACUGUUGGACUGAAUUCUGACACCGCCACCUACCCUGCCCUCCGGGAGCAUUAGUCCUGGAAGAGCCCACGGCUCUGGGAAACCUCGUUUCCCUGAAGACCUCUGCCCUCUGCUCAGCCAAGUCUUCUAUGCCAAAGUGAGAGUGGGGGAGCCCAAGGAUGAGGAGAAUGACCAUGACGAUAAAUUUCCAGGCAGAGCCCAGCCCCCAGCUCCCCCCCCCCAGGAAGCCCUGAGCCCUCCCUUCGUCCUUUUCAAAAUAGGAGCCCCCACCUUUCCAAUUUCCUCUUGUGCCUCUUCUCCAUCUCCCGGCCCCCGCCUCUGCGUGACCACGUGGCGUGCAGGCAGCCCAUCUGGGGCUCAGGGGAUCCUAUUGGGUAUGCCAGCUUAAUGAAAUACUUGCAGUUUAUUAAACACAGCCUUCCCUAAGCCCCGAGCGCCUGUGGGUAUUUGCAAGCCCAAGGUAGCCCCGAGCUACCACACACGUAAUUGUUACAUGUGUCCUUGCAUUCUUGGUGCAACCUCAAAACGCCGGCUCUUAAGCAGCACACAAAAUGAGCAACAUAAAGUAAUUCCUGGUCAGACAAGAGGGGGAAAGGUGGGGAAACACUGAGAGAGGCUCCCAGAACCCCUUAGGACCUCUAAAAUAUAUGAAGUUCCUGUUCCGUUGCAUAGCUGUGGCUGCGGAGGGCGCUCCCCCGACCCCAGGCCAUUCGUUGUUCGCAGAUUUGGCUCAUCAGUGCUCCGCAAACCUGCUUGUCAGCUUUGAAUGAUGUAGCUUGGUAUAUGAGGUCCUGUGCCAGCCGAGGCUGGCUCUGGCUGGCCAGAGGGCCUAGCAAAGCUCCCUGUCCCGGGGCUCCCUCUGGAGCUGUAUUUCUGUUGCUCCUCCAGGGCUUGGCUGGGAAGGACCGUGGAGAAAGCCCAGGGGACCCGGGGCCUGUGGCCCUGGGCCCGGGGGAGGCUGCUCCUGGGGGACGCCUUCCCAUUCGUCUGUCUCCUCGGCCUGGAGCCUGUAAAUCAGGGGCGAGGGGCUGAGAUGGAAGAAGCAGACAAAGGCCUCCAGGGAGGUGCCUCCCUCGAUGCGGACCACCAUCUGGACGCCGGAGAAGGCGACCCUGUUGACGACACUCAGGGGCACCUGCUCCAGGAACCUCAGCGUCAGCCCGUUGACCCACACGCAGCCCUUGCGGCUCAGGGCCUUCAGGCUGAAGGUCAGCAGAGAGCCACCCUUCUCCAAGUAGGGCUCCAGCGACAGGUGCCGGCGGGAGAGGUGCGGGAGCUGCAGCCGGAGGUGGGCCUCCGGGCCCCGGCCCACCAGCAGCGGGCUGAUGUCGUGCUGUAGCCGUGGGGGAACGAGGGUGAAGGUGGUUGGGUCCGGCAUGGGGUGAUGCAG
rnacentral:lncRNA from 1 species